rnacentral:rRNA from 1 species
CCUACGGGGCGCAGCAGUGGGGAAUAUUGCGCAAUGGGCGAAAGCCUGACGUAGCCACGCCGCGUGAGGGAUGAAGGUCUUCGGAUCGUUAACCUCUGUCUGCAGGGAAGAACCGUCCCUUUGCUAAUCAGCUUUGCAUUGACGGUACGUGCAAAGGCAGCACCGUCUAACUCCGUGCCAGGAGCCGCGGUAAUACGGAGGGUGCGAGCGUUACUCGGAAUUAUUGGGCGUAAAGGUCUCGUAGGCGGUAUGUCAAGUCAAGGGUGAAAUCCCCGCGCUCAACGUGGGAACUGCCUUGGAAACUGGCGAGCUGGAGUGUGUGAGAGGAUAGUGGAAUUCCUGGUGUAGGAGUGAAAUCCGUAGAUA